GUAUUACUCCCUCCGUUCGGAAUUACUUGUCACAAAAAUAGAUGUAUCUACAACUAAAAUACAUCUAGAUACAUUCAUUUUUUGGACGAGUAAUUCCAAACGGAGGGAGUACAUA
rnacentral:pre_miRNA from 1 species